rnacentral:lncRNA from 1 species
AUUAGGAACAGUACGGGCUCCCAACUACUACGGAGGAUUCGGACUCCGAAAACACCUCGCCUGUCCCCAACCUGUGUCCUCCUCCCGCUGCUACCUCCCCCUCCCCCACUCGUGUCCAUGGGAAGGCGGCCCAGGCACAGUCUGCGGGCUGCGGGUGAUAGGCAGGAGGCUGCCGCCGAGGCUCCGCCAGCGCGCAGGCUUGAGAGCAGUUAGGGGGCGGGAGCCGCAGCAGCCUCCGCGGCUCUCGAGGACUUAAGUGAUCCGAAAGAAGUUACCGGCGAUUCCUGUUCUCUACAAACCGGCUCAGAACCAGAGGGGCUGAAAAGCAAACGUCGGGUGUUAUUAUGUCGAUUUCCCAAGGACCGGGGUUCCCGCCGCGGAUCAGAUGAAAAGGUUGGCUCCUCCGGAGUCCUUCCAGCAUUUUAUGCGUAGAGUCCCAAAGGAUUGCCCGGAUUUGCUGUGAACCAGAGCUCUCUUUUAUGCUUACACCUCACAUUUUCAAGAAAGCAUUUUGUUUGCCGUGUUGUCCUGUUCCUAGCAUCAUUCGGGUCUCCUCCGAGCAAAUCACAGCCUCCUCGUUUAAAGUUAUGUUUCUACCGAGUGUGAUCUCUAAUUGAAAGUUAACUUUUUGGUUUUGGAUGAGUCUGUGGAGUUUACGUUGUAAGAAGAAAGGGAGCCUGAGACACGAUGAAAGAGAAGUCUAAAAAUGCUGCCCGGACGAGGAGGGAGAAAGAAAACAGUGAAUUUUACGAACUGGCUAAAUUACUGCCGUUACCCUCAGCCAUCACCUCGCAACUGGACAAAGCCUCGAUCAUCAGACUCACGACCAGCUAUCUCAAAAUGAGAGUGGUCUUUCCGGAAGAAAAAGGAAAAUCAAAGAAGAGCACUGUGGGAUCAUUGAAAAUGCAUAUCUUCUGUUUAAUCAUAUUCAAUCUAAAAGUAGUCUUAGAACCUUGGAACGGAAAAAAUGCAGAAUGUAAAAGUGUACAAAUCUUGGUUGUUACCAAAACCAGAAAGAUGAUAUUAAGGUAUUAAAAAAAACCAACAACAUAACUUUAUUUAUAUGCAAAUCAGGACAAUUCAACUUUCAAAGAAGUACAUAUUUUUACCCACUUCUGCUGUAGUUUUGGCCAAGGGCAUUUUGUCAUGCAGAAUAAGCUGGAAGAUCAGAUAUGGCUUCAAAUCUUCAACUGUUUUUAAUCUUAGUAGUAUCAUUACUCUUCACUGUCAAAAUGUCUAAGAAAAAUAAAAACAACCACAAGAGUUGAAAUCGGUAAACAUUUAUAAACAAAAUUCCCAAGACCUACAACAUUCAUUUAAAACCUGAAAUCCUUAAUCAUUAGUUUUAACUCAAAAAAGAAAAAGAAAAAAAAACCCAAAAAAUAAAAAGAGCCCAGAUUCCCACGUGGGUGUGUGAUUUAAGGCUGUUUUUCUUGCUGCUCAAGGGAAAUGAUUGAGCAUUGGGUUUCCAUGUUUAUUUUCUAACAUAAGUUUUUCUCAUUUAAAGCCUCCUUUAAACACAGUUUAUGCUCAAAUCUGGUUUUCUCUGCUUCCUUCCACUUUUGAUGUCCGUUUUAAGUGGGUGCAGAAUUAAACUGUGUGCAAGGCAGAUUUAUGACUAGAACGUGUAGAUUCCAUCAAUGAUUUUUUUUAAAAGAAAAUGGAUGUAUCACAAAUUAAAAAUAAAUAACAAACGG